rnacentral:rRNA from 1 species
GACGUAGGGAGCGAGCGUUGUCCGGAUUCAUUGGGCGUAAAGGGUUCGUAGGUGGCUUGCUAAGUCAGACGUGAAAUCCCUCAGCUUAACUGGGGAACUGCGUCUGAUACUGGCGAGCUUGAGUGCAGGAGAGGAACGCGGAAUUCCAGGUGUAGCGGUGAAAUGCGUAGAUAUCUGGAGGAACACCGGUGGCGAAGGCGGCGUUCUGGACUGCAACUGACACUGAUGAACGAAAGCCAGGGGAGCAAACGGG